rnacentral:rRNA from 1 species
GGCGGCAUGCUUAACACAUGCAAGUCGCACGGCCGGGGGUAACUCCGGCAGUGGCGGACGGGUGAGUAACGCGUAGGUAUCUAUCCUUGGGUGGGGGACAACCGUGGGAAACUACGGCUAAUACCGCAUAAUAACCGAGGUUUAAAGGCGCAAGUCGCCUGAGGAGGAGCCUGCGUACGAUUAGCUUGUUGGUGGGGUAAAGGCCUACCAAGGCGACGAUCGUUAGCUGGUCUGAGAGGAUGAUCAGCCACACUGGGACUGAGACACGGCCCAGACUCCUACGGGAGGCAGCAGUGGGGAAUAUUGGACAAUGGGCGCAAGCCUGAUCCAGCAAUGCCGCGUGUGUGAAGAAGGUCUUCGGAUUGUAAAGCACUUUCGACGGGGACGAUGAUGACGGUACCCGUAGAAGAAGCCCCGGCUAACUUCGUGCCAGCAGCCGCGGUAAUACGAAGGGGGCUAGCGUNGCUCGGAAUGACUGGGCGUAAAGGGCGCGUANGCGGAUGGUACAGUCAGAUGUGAAAUUC